GGCAAUAACUCCUAAAGGGGUCAACUGACCAUUUCGGUAGUAUAGACUUAUUUGUAAAUCUUAUUUUGCUGAACAUUAUUGUUGUUUACAGUUUAUCUCUAUCUAUAAUAUUAUUCAAGAUAAUAACCAAAAACAGCAAAAUUUCCUUAAAAUUACCAAUUCAGGGGCAGCAACCCAACAAUGGGUUGACCGAUUCAUCUGAAAUUUUCAAGGCAGAUAGAUCUUGACCUGACAAACAAUUUAACCCCCAUGUCAGAUUUGCUUUAAAUGCUUUGGUUUCUGAGUUAUAAGCCAAAAACUGCAUUUUACCCCUAUGUUCUAUUUUUAGCCAUGGCGGCCAUCUUGGUUGGUUGACCGGGUCACCGGACACAAUUUUUAAACUAGAUACCCCAAUGAUGAUUGUGGCCAAGUUUGGUUUAAUUUGGCCCAGUAGUUUCAGAGGAGAAGAUUUUUGUAAAAGUAAACGACGGACGACGGACG
rnacentral:lncRNA from 1 species